AGUCGAGCGGUAACAGGAAUUAGCUUGCUAAUUUGCUGACGAGCGGCGGACGGGUGAGUAACGCGUAGGAAUCUGCCUGGUAGUGGGGGACAACAUGUGGAAACGCAUGCUAAUACCGCAUACGCCCUACGGGGGAAAGGAGGGGAUCUUCGGACCUUUCGCUAUCAGAUGAGCCUGCGUGAGAUUAGCUAGUUGGUGGGGUAAAGGCUCACCAAGGCGACGAUCUCUAGCUGGUCUGAGAGGAUGAUCAGCCACACUGGGACUGAGACACGGCCCAGACUCCGACGGGAGGCAGCAGUGGGGAAUAUUGGACAGUGGGGGCAACCCUGAUCCAGCCAUGCCGCGUGUGUGAAGAAGGCCUUAGGGUUGUAAAGCACUUUCAGGAGUGAGGAAGGGUGUACGGUUAAUACCCGUAUAUUUUGACGUUAACUCCAGAAGAAGCACCGGCUAACUCUGUGCCAGCAGCCGCGGUAAUACAGAGGGUGCAAGCGUUAAUCGGAAUUACUGGGCGUAAAGCGCGCGUAGGCGGUUUGUUAAGUCGGAUGUGAAAUCCCAGGGCUCAACCUUGGAAUGGCACCCGAUACUGGCAGGCUAGAGUACGGUAGAGGGGUGUGGAAUUUCCUGUGUAGCGGUGAAAUGCGUAGAUAUAGGAAGGAACAUCAGUGGCGAAGGCGACACUCUGGACCGAUACUGACGCUGAGGUGCGAAAGCGUGGGGAGCAAACAGGAUUAGAUACCCUGGUAGUCCACGCCGUAAACGAUGUCUACUAGCCGUU
rnacentral:rRNA from 1 species